UAAUACGUAGGGUGCAAGCGUUGUCCGGAUUUAUUGGGCGUAAAGAGCUCGUAGGCGGCGUGUCGCGUCGAAAGUGAAAACCAUAGGCUUAACCUGUGGCUUGCUUUCGGUACGGGCAUGCUCGAGUGUGGUAGGGGAGUCUGGAAUUCCUGGUGUAGCGGUGAAAUGCGCAGAUAUCAGGAGGAACACCGGUGGCGAAGGCGGGACUCUGGGCCAUUACUGACGCUGAGGAGCGAAAGCGUGGGGAGCGAACAGGAUUAGAUACCCUGGUAGUCCACGCUGUAAACGUUGGGCGCUAGGUGUGGGGACUGGUUCACGGUUCCUGUGCCGUAGCUAACGCAUUAAGCGCCCCGCCUGGGGAGUACGGCCGCAAGGCUA
rnacentral:rRNA from 1 species